rnacentral:rRNA from 1 species
GUGGGGAAUCUUCCGCAAUGGACGAAAGUCUGACGGAGCGACGCCGCGUGAGUGAAGAAGGCCUUCGGGUCGUAAAGCUCUGUCAUCAGGGACGAAUGGCCGGUGGAGUGGAAAGCCACCGGAUUGACGGUACCUGAGAAGGAAGCCACGGCUAACUACGUGCCAGCAGCCGCGGUAAUACGUAGGUGGCAAGCGUUGUCCGGCAUUAUUGGGCGUAAAGCGCGCGCAGGUGGGAGCGUAAGUCCAUUUUGAAAGUUCGGAGCUCAACUCCGUGAUGGGAUGGAAACUGAGAUUCUUGAGUACCGGAGAGGAAAGCGGAAUUCCCCGUGUAGCGGUGAAAUGCGUAGAUAUGGGGAGGAACACCAGUGGCGAAGGCGGCUUUCUGGACGGUGUCUGACACUGAGGCGCGAAAGCCAGGGGAGCGAACGGGAUUAGAAACCCUGGUAGUCC